GACGAACGCUGGCGGCGUGCUUAACACAUGCAAGUCGAACGGAAAGGCCCUGCUUUUGUGGGGUGCUCGAGUGGCGAACGGGUGAGUAACACGUGAGUAACCUGCCCUUGACUUUGGGAUAACUUCAGGAAACUGGGGCUAAUACCGGAUAGGAGCUCCUGCUGCAUGGUGGGGGUUGGAAAGUUUCGGCGGUUGGGGAUGGACUCGCGGCUUAUCAGCUUGUUGGUGGGGUAGUGGCUUACCAAGGCUUUGACGGGUAGCCGGCCUGAGAGGGUGACCGGCCACAUUGGGACUGAGAUACGGCCCAGACUCCUACGGGAGGCAGCAGUGGCGAAUAUUGCACAAUGGGCGGAAGCCUGAUGCAGCAACGCCGCGUGCGGGAUGACGGCCUUCGGGUUGUAAACCGCUUUCGCCUGUGACGAAGCGUGAGUGACGGUAAUGGGUAAAGAAGCACCGGCUAACUACGUG
rnacentral:rRNA from 1 species